GUCCCUGUGGCGGAACGGUAGACGCGCUAGCUUGAGGUGCUAGUGCCCUUCGGGGCGUGCGGGUUCGACUCCCGCCUCGGACA
rnacentral:tRNA from 1 species